rnacentral:tRNA from 1 species
GCUUCCUUAGCUCAGCUGGUUAGGGCAUCUGAUCCCGCUUGAGCGGGAAGGGUCCUUGGUUCGAGCCCAAGAGGAGGAGCA